AAAAAGGUCACUUUUUCCUCCCUCUUAUUUGGUAAUUCCUCUCUCCCAAAGUAUUUACAUUCAAAAAAGGCCGUUUUUUCCUCCCUUUUUUUCUCUCCCAUUACAAAUCAGUUUAUCCUCCAUUAUUCAAUCCCUUGUUUCACGCCUAAAAUCAAGCAAUCAUAAGAGUUUAUCAUUGUAAGUUUUCGAACAUUAAUUGAACUUAUUGAUUUCAUUCAUUCAUUUUUAAUUUUUUUUUUAACUUCACCAAGUCAGAAAGUUAUGGACUUGUUUGAGAAAACAAAGGCAAAAAAAAUGGCGACGAAUUAUCAGAAGCUUCAAAAAAUCUCAAUUGGGUCAUCAUCCUCAUCAGUAGAGCACAACGGGGUGGAACAUGCCACGGAAAAUGAAUCUUGUGAACAGAGCACAACGAUGUUUAUUCAAACGAUUGAAUCAACGAAAUCACUUACUCAAUCUUCUGCUAGCUUUGUGGUUGCAAGAUAACUGCAAUUUGUACACCGAGGCUACUCAAAAGAAUAAGUGAUUUGCUACGAUAGGAAAAAAUUACUUGUCAUCGUGUCCAAAGAUGUAGAUUUUAUACAUUAUACAUUACUUUAUUUAACACACUUAUGUAUAAUGUAAGUUUUUGUAUAUAUAGAAGAGACUGCUUUUGUAUUUAGUCGAAUUAUAGAAUUAUAAUCUAUGAAUUUUGUAUAAGGUUACAUUAUACAUUCUGGACAAGUUUAUAGAUAAAUAAUGUAUAAUGUUAAUAUUUUAUAUGUAUGGUGUAACAUUAUACAUUCUUGAA